rnacentral:rRNA from 1 species
UAAAGGAAUUGGCGGGGGAGCACCACAAGGGGUGGAGCCUGCGGCUUAAUUGGAGUCAACGCCAGGAAUCUCACCGGGGGCGACAGCAUGGAUGACGGCCAGGCUGACGACCUUGCCCGACGCGCUGAGAGGAGGUGCAUGGCCGUCGCCAGCUCGUGUCGUGAGAUGUCCGGUUAAGUCCGGCAACGAGCGAGACCCCCGCCCCCAGUUGCGAUCCGGUCCUCCGGGACCGGAGCACACUGGGGGGACUGCCGCCGUGUAAGGCGGAGGAAGGAGGGGGCCACGGCAGGUCAGCAUGCCCCGAAACCCCCGGGCUGCACGCGGGCUACAAUGGCGGGGACAGCGGGCUUCCGACCCCGAAAGGGGGAGGGAAUCCCUUAAACCCCGCCGUAGUUGGGAUCGAGGGCUGCAACUCGCCCUCGUGAACGAGGAAUCCCUAGUAACCGCGCGUCAACAUCGCGCGGUGAAUACGUCCCUGCUCCUUGCACACACCGCCA